UACGGAGGGAGCAAGCGUUACUCGGAAUUAUUGGGCGUAAAGGGCGCGUAGGCGAUUUGAAAAGUCUUGUGUGAAAGCCCCGAGCUUAACUCGGGAAGUGCACAAGAAACUGUUGAAUUUGAGUUCCGGAGAGGAAGGCAGAAUUCCCGGUGUAGCGGUGAAAUGCGCAGAUAUCAGGAAGAACACCCGUGGCGAAGGCGGCUCUCUGGGGACGGUACUGACGCUGAAGACG
rnacentral:rRNA from 1 species